rnacentral:rRNA from 1 species
GACGAACGCUGGCGGCGUGCUUAACACAUGCAAGUCGAACGGACUACUUUGCUCCGGUAAGGUGGUUAGUGGCGAACGGGUGAGUAACGCGUAGACAACCUACCUCUUAGAUGGGGACAACAUCGCGAAAGCGGUGCUAAUACCGAAUGAAGUGACUUUCCUGCAUGGGAGAGAUACUAAAGGUGGCCUCUAUUUAUAAGCUACCACUGAGGGAUGGGUCUGCGUCUGAUUAGCUAGUUGGCGGGGUAACGGCCCACCAAGGCGACGAUCAGUAGCCGGUCUGAGAGGAUGAACGGCCACAUUGGGACUGAGACACGGCCCAAACUCCUACGGGAGGCAGCAGUGGGGAAUCUUCCGCAAUGGACGAAAGUCUGACGGAGCAACGCCGCGUGAGUGAAGAAGGUCUCCGGAUCGUAAAGCUCUGUUGUUUGAGACGAAUGUGCCUGUUUCGAAUAGGGAUAGGUAAUGACGGUAUUAAACGAGAAAGCCACGGCUAACUACGUGCCAGCCGCCGCAGUAA